rnacentral:lncRNA from 1 species
CGAUUGUUGAUUGGAAUGCUUAGCUGCGCUCGGAAAGUUCUUUUGCGAAAUUCGACUGUAAGAUGAAGACGAAGAGUAAUAGAAGAGUUGCCAAACCAAAUGUUCGGCAAAACAAAGUUUACCCACUUCAGAAUGACAGAAAUUUGCCUGCGACGAAAUGCGACUCCUCGAACAUAGGCGAGUGACGGUCGCGAGCAAAUAAUGCGAAAAUAGGAGGAAGGUCUAUCGGAUAUUUAAGAAAUUUAUUCUAUAAAUUCUUGUUGUGUUGCUGCAUUUCUGUCGAGAUUUCUGAUUCGGAGACUAAAGAACCGGAAAAGAAACUCGCAGAUAUUAACUCCGAAGACGACUGUUUUUAUAUUAUAAAUCCAAGUACUUUAUUGAUAAGACUAUGUCUUGUUUAUAAAACCGUGACUUGCCAGCUUACAGGCAUGAAGAAGUACAUGUCAGGAGUUGCAAUUUAGCACAGAGUAUUAAGUUAUAGUACCAAAUUUUAACAUUGGUAAAGCGAAAGAAAAU